GACGAACGCUGGCGGCGUGCUUAACACAUGCAAGUCGAACGGAAAGGCCCUGCUUUUGUUGGGUUCUCGAGUGGCGAACGGGGGAGUAACACGUGAGUAACCUGCCCUUGUCUUUCUGAUAACUUCAGGGAACUGGGGCUCAUACCGGAUAGGAUCUCCUGCUGCGUGGUGUGGGUUGGAAAGUUUCGGCGGUUGUGGAUGGACUCGCGGCUUAUCAGCUGGUUGGUGGGGUAGUUGCUUACCAAGGCUUUGACGGCUAGCCGGCCUGAGAGGGUGACCGGCGACCUGGGGACUGAGAUACGGACCAGAAUGCUACGGGAGGCAGCAGUGGGGAAUAUUGCACAACGGGGGGAAGCCUGAUGCAGAAACGCCGCGUGCGGGAUGCCGGCCUUCGGGUUGUAAACCGCUUUCGCCUGUGACGAAGAGUGAGUGACGGUAAUGGGUAAAGAAGCACCGGCUAACUACGUG
rnacentral:rRNA from 1 species